CUUUUGUUUUUGGGUAAAGGUCCUUUUUUCCAUUGAAGUUAUGGUAUACUAUAAUUAUGACUGUCCAAAAUUGGGGUUGGAGAUGCCACUAGAGCCGAGGUAAAAACCUGCCUUUCUCUCUUUCUCUUUUCUUUUUUUCUUUAACCUUAAGCACCACUGUCGGCCGUGGAUUUUGUUGAAAAUCCACCAAGAAAUAAAAACUCUAUUUAUCCCCUAUUUUUUUGAGUUUUUAUUCACUUUUUCUGACCGCCAGCAUUACCAUCCUUUGAAGGCUGAGUACCUAGGCUCCCCACGAUC
rnacentral:lncRNA from 1 species